rnacentral:rRNA from 1 species
AUUGAACGCUGGCGGCAGGCCUAACACAUGCAAGUCGAACGAGUGGCGGACGGGUGAGUAAUGUCUGGGAAACUGCCUGAUGGAGGGGUAUAACUACUGGAAACGGUAGCUAAUACAGCAUACCAUCGGAUGUGCCCAGAUGGGAUUAGCUAGUAGGUGGGGUAAAGGCUCACCUAGGCGACGAUCCCUAGCUGGUCUGAGAGGCUGACCAGCCACACUGGAACUGAGACCCGGUCCAGACUCCUACGUUAGGCAGCAGUGGGUAAUAGUGCACAAUGGGCGCAAGCCGGAUGCAGCCAUUCCGCGUGUAUGAAGAAGGCCUUCGGGUUGUAAAGUACUUUCAGCGGGGAGGCGUUACCCGCAGAAGAAGCACCGGCUAACUCCGUGCCAGCAGCCGCGGGAAUAC